AUCGAGCGACACAUGAGGGCAGCAUUCAACAACAACAUAAACACGCGACUCGUGUAAAUCUGCCGCUACCCGUAUUCUUCUGACUCUGGUCUGAGUGGCUGAAAACUUUCUUAUUUAUUAGUAUUACGUCAGUAUCAGUACUACAAGUUUGUUUUCAUUAAAGCUGCCAAGAAGAUAAGGAGGAGGCAUUGAAAGUACUCAACGGACACAAAUGGAAAGGACAAGUGCUCAAAGCCAAGGUUAAACAACACAGUGACUCCACUACGGAACCAGCUGUAUGAGGACCAGCUAUCCACCAAACAGACCAACACCAGGGAGUGUCUUGUCUUGAUGCAUGGCCAGUGUAUGGAAGGACGGCAACCGGCAUGUCGGGUGUGUUCAGGGUCUGUGACUGGUUCCUAUUCGGUUAAACAACAUGGUGACUACACUGUGGAACCAGCCAUAUGAGGACCAGCUAUCCACCAAACAGACCAACACCAGGGAGUUUCUGAGGAAUUUAUCCAAGAUGCUGCAACGGAACAUUGGGGAGAUGUCUCCCUGUCUGAAGCAACAAAGGUGAGCUACCCGCCAAAGACACGGGAUGGUUGUGGGCCAGAAUGGAAAUGUGAUCUUCCUUGACAAAAAAAUGUUUCCAGACACAGUUUUCUGGCAAGUGGACUUACAUGUACAGCUGCCCUGAAAUUUCAUUAAAAGUCCAGAAAAUGAUGCCUCAUUUUUCUUGAGAAUCAGUUAAAACUCAGCAAAGUUUUAGCCAAUUUCUGAAAUAAACUUCCUUUCCACACACAAAAGUUCCAAAGAUUAAAGGGGGGGGGGAGUUGGUUAAAAAAAAUGUUUAAAAACAAAAAACAAAAAAAUGAACACAAAACGAAAACUUCACAAUUCAUAAGCUGCUCGAAUGAGACUCGCACCAACAAUCUCCUGCUUCCUAGUGCAGAUGUCUCAACUGCUUGACCAUCAGGCUUGCUGGUGUUGGCUGGCUGGUCCCAAUCUGAUAUACAUGUAGCAGGUGCCACAAUCAAUGAGUUUAAUUAAUUGUUUACGUAGGGGAGUUGUGAAUGUGAAUACCUGGUUUUGACCUUCACCAAUGUAAAUUUGAAUGCACUGUAUAUUCAGUGCUGUCUGAGAGCUUACGAGCAAAGAUUCUGCAAGCUUGCUUGGGUGGGAUAUGAACCCAUGACCUCCUGCUUACUAGUGCAGACAUCUUAACAACUCGACAGCAGAGCUUACCAAGAUUGGUCAGGCAGUUUGAAUCUUGUGCAUAUAAUAGCUGUGGUUACCACAAGAAGAAAUUCACAAGCCUGUUGGAGUGGGAUUCGAACCCACAACCUCGUGUUUAAUAGUGCACUCUUCAUUUCAUUGGCAGGAAGAGCCACAGUGGGAUGGCAUUCAACCUGGAUUUCUUGUUAGAUAAACUAUACAGCAUGUGAAUCUUUUGUGGGGUAAAUAUUCCUGACAUUGGAGAUGUCUGAUUUGUUCCUUUCAUUUUCAUUGUUUGUUUGCACACUCACAGCCAGUAUUAGAGAGUUAUCACAACAAGUGUGAGUUUACCAUCGGCAAGAGUGUCGAUGGCAUCGAAAACACUGUUGGUUUCCGGCUUGGCGCUUACAAAAGU